GACGAACGCUGGCGGCGUGCUUAACACAUGCAAGUCGAACGGUCAAACGCCUUCCUUGCUGGUGGGUGGGGAUGAGUGGACGACGGGGGAAUAACACGUGAGUAACCUGCCCCCUUCUUCUGGAUAACCGCAUGCAAGUGUGGCUACUACGGAAUAUUCUGGGUCUGUCGCUUGAUGGGUCUAGGAAAGAUAUGGUUUCGGUGGGGGAUGGGCCCGCGGCCUAUCAGCUUGUUGGUGGGGUGAUGGCCUACCAAGGCGGUGACGGGUAGCCGGCCUGAGAGGGUGGACGGCCACAGUACGACGGCGACACGGACAAGACUCCGACGGGAGGCAGCAGUGGGUAUUACGGAACGAGGGGAAGAAGGCUGAUGCAGCGCCGCCGGGGGAGGGAUGGAGGUCUGCUGGUUGUGAACUUCUAUCGGGAGUGAAGAAGUCUUGCCUCGUUUGUGGGUGGGUUGACGGUAGCUGGACAAAAAGCGCCGGCUAACUACGUG
rnacentral:rRNA from 1 species